rnacentral:rRNA from 1 species
UACGGGGGGAGCAAGCGUUGUUCAGAUUUACUGGGCGUAAAGGGCGCGUAGGCGGCCACCGCAAGUCGACUGUGAAAUCUCCGGGCUUAACCCGGAAAGGUCAGCCGAUACUGCGGGGCUAGAGUGCAGAAGGGGCAACUGGAAUUCUCGGUGUAGCGGUGAAAUGCGUAGAUAUCGAGAGGAACACCUGCGGCGAAGGCGGGUUGCUGGGCUGACACUGACGCUGAGGCGCGAAAGCUAGGGGAGCGAACGGG